rnacentral:rRNA from 1 species
GGAGAUGGAGGGGGAUGAGGGCCGUGAGUAGGGGGGGUGGAGACGGUGAUCGCGAAUGCUGGGCGUGAAGCGCACGGAGGCUGGCUGUGAAGGCGGAUGAGAAAUCCCCGGGGUCAACGUUGGAACUGCAUGCGAAACUGGCAGGCUAGAGUCUUGUAGAGGGGGGUAGAAUUCCAGGUGUAGCGGUGAAAUGCGUAGAGAUCUGGAGGAAUACCGGUGGCGAAGGCGGCCCCCUGGACAAAGACUGACGCUCAGGUGCGAAAGCGUGGGGAGCAAACAGGAUUAGAUACCCGAGUAGUC